GUUAAAGAAACAGCCUCUCCACCCUAAGGAUAUCUGAAAGAAACUGGAACAAAGGACAGUAACCACAGGGGGUGUGAGUGAUUGCUGGACACAGACUAGAAGAAACCAGUCUGUAAAAGGAAGGCUACUGGUGAGGUUUUUAUCUGUACUCAGUUUCUUGGAUAUAGACUUG